rnacentral:rRNA from 1 species
UACGGAGGGGGCUAGCGUUAUUCGGAAUUACUGGGCGUAAAGCGUACGUAGGCGGCUUUGUAAGUUAGAGGUGAAAGCCCGGAGCUCAACUCCGGAACUGCCUUUAAGACUGCAUCGCUUGAAUCCAGGAGAGGUGAGUGGAAUUCCGAGUGUAGAGGUGAAAUUCGUAGAUAUUAGGAAGAACACCAGUGGCGAAGGCGGCUCACUGGCCCGGCACUGACGCUGAGGCGCGAAAGCGUGGGGAGCAAACAGG